rnacentral:rRNA from 1 species
GGGCGUUCCCCCUUCGGGGGGACAGGGUGACAGGUGGUGCAUGGUUGUCGUCAGCUCGUGUCGUGAGAUGUUGGGUUAAGUCCCGCAACGAGCGCAACCCUCGACCUUAGUUGCCAGCAUUCAGUUGGGCACUCUAAGGUGACUGCCGGCUAAAAGUCGGAGGAAGGUGGGGAUGACGUCAAAUCAUCAUGCCCCUUAUGACCUGGGCUACACACGUGCUACAAUGGGCGGUACAAAGGGUCGCGAACCCGCGAGGGGGAGCCAAUCCCAAAAAGCCGCUCUCAGUUCGGAUUGCAGGCUGCAACUCGCCUGCAUGAAGCCGGAAUCGCUAGUAAUCGCGGAUCAGCAUGCCGCGGUGAAUACGUUCCCGGGCCUU